UCCAUUUUCUGAACCGCUUACCCUCACGAGGGUCGCGGGCGUGCCGGCGCCCAUCCCGGGCUGACUUUGGUCGAGAGACACACCCUAAACUAGUUCCCGGCCAAUCACAGUUUUGAUUUUAAUUUAUCUUAUUAUUUCAGUAGUUGUGUUCUCUGUAAUUAAGUCCGUUGUUAACGUUUAAACUACAUAAUGAUGGAGUGGGGGGAGAAAAAAAACUAAAUUCCUGAAGCAUGACUGUUAUAUAAUGGUAGUAUCCUCAUUUCUUGUCUGUUCAGUGCGUAGCCCCAAUACUCCUUCAUACUUAAAUUAGUUAAGACACGGAUGAAAACAAGUGCUACAUGCUCAAACCGUUCUAGUGGACAGAUCAAUGUUAAAAAAAAAUGUAGUGUUAAAAAAAUGUGCAACAAAGUGUAGCUUGUUUGUUGAGCGGUUGUUCAUCAGCAGGUGCAAGCAGCCGUGAGGAAGACGACGAGGAAGAGGGCCGCACGUUCCAUCUUGAGAUGUUCACAUUGAGCGGGACCAACGAGAGGCGGGCGGCGCUCACGGAGCGGCGCUAAUGUGCGGCGUCCACGGGCAGAUGGGCUCCCGUGAAGGUGGCGGUAAUGCAGAGUUCCAGCCGUUUGUCAACCGUCAAACAAAGCUCGACAAUUCUCGUGUCUGUGCACUCGGAAUUGCUCAAACCAAGGCGAGGUGCUUCCCUUAUGAUCACAACUUCCAUCCUACCACGACGUAAUAGCGUGUUCUUUUGGGAACUACCCUGUCAUUUAUGACUUAGCUGUAAUUUGUCAUUUAUAAAUUACACAGUCAACGGCAGUUGCCAAACCAAAAGAACACUCUCUAUAGGCUCCCCGCCGGUCCGAGGCCCCGCGGUCG